rnacentral:rRNA from 1 species
AUUGAACGCUGGCGGCAGGCCUAACACAUGCAAGUCGAACGGUAACAGGAAGAAGCUUGCUUCUUUGCUGACGAGUGGAGGACGGGUGAGUAAUGUCUGGGAAACUGCCUGAUGGAGGGGGAUAACUACUGGAAACGGUAGCUAAUACCGCAUAACGUCGUAAGACCAAAGAGGGGGACCUUCGGGCCUCUUGGCAUCGGAUGUGCCCAGAUGGGAUUAGCUAGUAGGUGGGGUAACGGCUCACCUAGGCGACGAUCCCUAGCUGGUCUGAGCGGAUGACGGGCCACACUGGAACUGAGACACGGUCCAGACUCCUACGGGAGGCAGCAGUGGGGAAUAUUGCACAAUGGGCGAAAGCCUGAUGCAGCCAUGCCGCGUGUAUGAAGAAGGCUUUCGGGUUUUAAAGUACUUUCAGCGGGGAGGAAGGGAGUAAAGUUAAUACCUUUGCUCAUUGACGUUACCCGCAGAAGAAGCACCGGCUAACUCCGUG